rnacentral:rRNA from 1 species
GACGAACGCUGGCGGCGUGCUUAACACAUGCAAGUCGAACGGAAAGGCCCUGCUUGCAGGGUACUCGAGUGGCGAACGGGUGAGUAACACGUGGGUGAUCUGCCCUGCACUUCGGGAUAAGCCUGGGAAACUGGGUCUAAUACCGGAUAGGAGCCAUUUUUAGUGUGAUGGUUGGAAAGUUUUUUCGGUGUAGGAUGAGCUCGCGGCCUAUCAGCUUGUUGGUGGGGUAAUGGCCUACCAAGGCGGCGACGGGUAGCCGGCCUGAGAGGGUGGACGGCCACAUUGGGACUGAGAUACGGCCCAGACUCCUACGGGAGGCAGCAGUGGGGAAUAUUACACAAUGGGCGCAAGCCUGAUGCAGCGACGCCGCGUGGGGGAGGACGGCCUUCGGGUUGUAAACUCCUUUCGCUAGGGACGAAGCUUUUUGUGACGGUACCUAGAUAAGAAGCACCGGCUAACUACGUG